AGGGUCUACCUCACUGUCUGCUGCCACAAGGAGAAGAGGAAAAUUCUUAACACUGAGGGGCACAAUGCCCUCCACAAGUCAUCUGUCAGCUGCCCUUUCAGCACCCAGAACAUCAAAUUUGAGCAUGAGCCAUCUCUGCCAAAGCAAUGACCUUGGUGAGCCUGUUGAACCCCUUCUGUUUGCCUCCAAGAAAAUUCUGAUGGAUGGGGGCCUCAUUCUGCUGGAUGACCGGUACAGAUCUCCUUGGUGCUAAUAAGCUCUCUGUCUCUGAAAGACCACAGACUGAGGGGAAGCGGCUGCUAGCAUAGAUGAUCAAGCUGAAAAUGCCCCACAGCGUGGCUGCCUGCAUCCCUGUUGUGCAUGCUGCAAUGGAGGCUCUCACUGUGGAGGUGACUAAAGAUCUGGGGAUCAUUUAGCAGCUGGACCCACCAAACAAGCAGAUGUGAUCUGUCAGAUCUCCAGGCCGUCAGCCACAGGCAUCAGCCUGAUGGCUGCCGAUGCAAGACUGAGAGAUGGUGCUCGCGCUCCAAAGAUGGCUCGCUGUGACGGUGGAGGUUAUGUGCACGGCUCUGCCUAUGGAGGUUCGGUGGCUUCUCUGGCAGGGGCUCAGAAGGAAGAGGAUGCCAAGGUAGCCCCAGCUAUUCCUGGUCUUCAGAAGAAGUCAGCGUUUAAAGGGGAGAUG